GCUCGCUUCUGCCUGUUGGGAAGUUUCCCUCAUUGCAUGAAAACGAGAAUGAAAUCUCUGUUGCUUUUCCUUUUCCUGCUAUCUGCCCCCACCAGUGUCCUCUCCCAGGUGCAGCUGGUCCAGUCCGGCCCGGGGACGGUGAAGCCCGGAGAGACCCUCACCCUGACCUGCGCUGUCUCCGGGUUCUCCAUCUCUACUCGGUAUUACACCUGGAACUGGAUCCGGCAGCCCCCCGGGAAAGGGCUGGAGUGGAUGGGGUAUGUUUACCCGUAUAGUAGCGGGAGCACAAGCUACGCCCCGUCUCUCCAAGGCCGAGUCACCAUCUCUGGAGACACCGCCAAGAACCAGGUCUCCCUGCAGCUCCGCUCGCUGGCAGCCGCGGACACCGCCACGUAUUACUGCGCCCGGAGAGACACGGUGACACGAGGCAGAGCGGGGCUGGUACAAAAAGGGGAAGCGGUUUUUACACAGCCCGGGGAGGCCAGAGUUACAGAGUGGAGCCCCGCAGAGAAAGAGGCACACAGGAUGAACUCACUGUGA